AAAAAAUCGUAACAAGGUUUCCGUAGGUGAACCUGCGGAAGGAUCAUUGUUGAUGCCUCAAUCAAGAGAGACCUGUGAAUGUGUUUUCCUACUCGGGGUGGCUGAUGCUGCUCAGCAGCUAGGCUCCUCGACAUGUUGGGACGAGGGCGCUUUGUGUGUUCUUGUCCCGGCACCACAACAAACCCCGGCGCGGAAUGCGCCAAGGAAGUAGCAAUAGUAUAGCGCGCCCCGUCGGCCCGGAAACGGUGUUUGUACGGGCGGCGUCGCAACACUCGAGUCAAAACGACUCUCGGCAACGGAUAUCUCGGCUCUUGCAUCGAUGAAGAACGUAGCGAAAUGCGAUACUUGGUGUGAAUUGCAGAAUCCCGUGAACCAUCGAGUCUUUGAACGCAAGUUGCGCCCAAAGCCAUUAGGCUAAGGGCACGCCUGCCUGGGUGUCACUAAUCGUUGCCCCAAGCUCUUUUCUUAUGGUCAGGAGCGGGGCGAAUGUUGGCUUCCCGUGAGCACGGCCUCGCGGUUGGUUGAAAGUUUGGUUUGUGGUGGAUGAAGCACCGUGACAAAUGGUGGUUGAGUUUGUUCUCGAGGCCAGUCAUGCGUGCAACCUCCGCCGGCUCCGGACCCUGUGACCCACGAGCGAUGUUGGAUCGUUCCUUGACGCGACCUCAGGUCAGGCGGGGCUACCCGCUGAGUUUAAGCAUAUCAUA
rnacentral:misc_RNA from 1 species